AUACGUAGGGGACGAGCGUUGUCCGGAAUUACUGGGCGUAAAGGGCGCGCAGGCGGAUAUUUAAGUCAGCUGUAAAAGGCAUGAGCUCAACUCAUGUAUGCGGUUGAAACUGGGUAUCUAGAGUGCUGGAGAGGUAGGCGGAAUUCCCGGGGUAGCGGUGAAAUGCGUAGAUAUCGGGAAGAACACCAGUGGCGAAGGCGGCUUACUGGCCAGCAACUGACGCUGAGGCGCGAAAGCCAGGGGAGCGAACGGGAUUAGAUACCCCGGUAGUCCUGGCCGUAAACGAUGAAUGCUAGGUGUGGGUGUCGAGAGGCAUCCGUGCCGGAGUUAACGCGAUAAGCAUUCCGCCUGGGGAGUACGGUCGCAAGAUUGAAACUUAAAGGAAUUGACGGGG
rnacentral:rRNA from 1 species